rnacentral:rRNA from 1 species
AAUCAACGCUGGCGGCGUGCCUCAGACAUGCAAGUCGAACGAUUAAACUUUCCUUCGGGGAAGAUAUAAAGUGGCGCACGGGUGAGUAACACGUAGGUAAUUUGCCUUCGGGUGGGGAAUAACUUGGGGAAACCCAAGCUAAUACCGCAUAAUGCAGCGGCAUCUUCGGAUGACAGUUGUUAAAGCUUUAUGUGCCUGGAGAGAAGCCUGCGGCGGAUUAGGUAGUUGGUAAGGUAAUGGCUUACCAAGCCUGCGAUCCGUAUCCGGUCGUAGAGGACGGUCGGACACACUGACACUGAAUAACGGGUCAGACUCCUACGGGAGGCAGCAGUCGGGAAUUUUGGGCAAUGGGCGAAAGCCUGACCCAGCAACGCCGCGUGAAGGAUGAAGUCCUUCGGGAUGUAAACUUCGGAAGAAUGGGAAGAAUAAAUGACGGUACCAUUUUUAAGCCCCGGCUAACUCCGUGCCAGCCGCCGCGGUAA